GGCUCACUUAUUCAGAAGCUUCAGAAAGAAAAAAUAUAUUUCUUGCUAUCAAAUGUUUCAGUAUCAUUUCAAACAAUAAAAAUAAUUUUUAUGAGAUUUUAGUUUUAAAUUCAAUGCUUUACAUCAAUACAUUUCCCUCCCCCUUAUCCACCCCAUGCUGCUGGAAAAAUGGUAUGAGCCAGCCCACAGAAUAAAUCAGCCCCAACAGGGCCCCCUCCCUCUGGCUGGCACAUUCCACUCCCUUCAGAGGGGAGUUUUAUGAAUGUACCAAGAGACUAGUGUUCAUUGUAGCAGAAUUGCAGUGCACUGGACUGUACAGAACUGGGUAGCAUCCACACUGUCUAUGAGGGUGCGGUCCGGCUGCACUGAAAGCAACAACACUGACAGAUAGAGAGAGAGAGAGAAGGAAUAAGACAGAAGAGGAGGGAGAGAUAUCACCACAAGAGGAAUACAGCAAGGAAAGAUUUCCGAUGAUCUUCACCUGGAAAUGAAGGGACUCAGGAUGAUGAAAUGUGUUGCUAUCAGAACAUUGCAAUCAAAGGAUGAAAGGAGACACCCCUGUGAACAGCACCAUGAGUGUCGGUCAGACCAGGAAGCUGGUGGAACAGCUUAAGAUCGAAGCCAGUUUUUGUCGAAUCAAGGUGUCUAAGGCAGCAGCGGACUUGAUGGCCUACUGUGAUGCCCAUGCAUGUGAGGACCCUCUCAUCACCCCUGUGCCCACUUCAGAAAACCCGUUCAGGGAGAAAAAAUUCUUCUGUGCUCUGCUCUGAACAGGACACCGGAAGGGCAGAAUUAGUCUCAUUUAGAUGACAAUGAUUUGUGUACACACAUCACACAACACUCGACGAGACACGACACAGAAAAAUAAAUCCCAAAUUAAGCUUUAAUAAAUGCAAAGUGGUUUCCAAAUUUCAGCAGCUGACAGCGCCAAAUUUACAAAAUCAUUCUCGUGAGAAUAUUUUUAUUCUCCUGUUUUUUUUGGGGAAACCUUGUUCCUUUUAAUUAAGGGGACAAAAUAACAUCAAGAUUGAUACAAAUUGAUUAGAUGAAAUCACACACUGAUACACACAUAUGCAAGCACAGUUUUUUAAUUAAGCAAAAGGUAAUAGGUGCGGGUCUGGAUAUUUCAAUGAUUUCAAAUGUUAUUAUAUUCAAGACAUUGGUUUUGUUCUUCACAUAGCAUACUAUGGUGAUUUACAAAUUCUUUAUGUAUAUUUAGAUUUUUUUUUAAAUGUUUUGUUUGAGGUGGCUAUGUACACUGGUAGACAUUUCUGAUGAACUGGUAGAGCUUUUAAAGUUUAAAUCAUGUGAGAUGAUGAGACUGCUAAUACCUACACACAAAUACCACCAGUACAUAACGCUCCUAAAGGGAUUUGUUAUGUCCUAAAACCGAUUUAAUUUUUCUGACCACUUAAACAAGAGGUAGAGGUAUCAAGUCUCUAAGAGUUGGAAAUUAGCUUAAAAGAUGAAUUAUUGGAGAAAAAUGUAAAGAGAAUAUCUGUCAAAACUUGUGGUCCCAAGUAACAGAUUAAAUAAUGCAGACAGAAUCCAAUGAAGGAAUGAAUAAAACUUUUAAACACAACACACUUAUGUGUACCACUUAUUGAGAUUAAGGAGAAAAAAAUAACUCACUAUUGUUCUUUUUGUUGUUGUUGAGGAAAUUAAUAAUUUUAUUCAGCAAGGACAAAAAAUAAUAAGUGACAUUAGGUUUAUGUUACAAAAGAUUUCUAUUUCAAAUCAAAAUUUAAAUAAAAUAUACUUUUUAACUUUCUAGUCAUCAUUCUAGGAUCACCAUUAUUACAAAAUUAAGCAGCACAACCGUUUUCAACAUUGAUAAUAAAUGUUUCUUGAGCAGCAAAUCAACAUAUUAGAAUGAUUUCUGAAGGAUCAUGAGACUCUGAAAAGUGGAGUGACAACUGCUGAAAAUUCAGCUUCACUAUCCCAGAAAAAAAUUACAUUUUAAAAUAGAAAACAGUUAUUCUAAAUUGUAAUAAUUUCAUAAUAUUACUAUUUUUACUGAUCAAUUAAAUGCAACCUAGGUGAGUAUGAGAUACAUCUUAGUCUUUCAAAAUAAUUAACUACCACAAACUUUUUAACAGUAGUGUAUGUUCAUGAUUUGUAAUAAUCCAAAGCAAAACAGGUAAUUCCACUUCUGUUACAACAGGUUGAGCUGGAUUGGUAAUAAUGUUUUUCAUUCCACAUCCUCACCACACACCCUAUCAAUUACUACUUUUUGGACAAUUUGUUCAAAAAGAAAUAAAAUGCAAAACACAAAAAGGUUAAUAAAAAAAAAAAUAGUAGAAUCAUAAGAAUAUUUAUGAAAAUUUCUUACACCAUUCAUGCAGCAUUUUAAACAUCUGACAGCAGCAAAUGCCAAUCAAGAUGUGAAUUAAGUGGCUACACUAUGCAGAAUGAAUCAGACCACGCAUCUUUAGGUACACAUGCACACUUAAAACAAAUCCAGAUUUUUAUUAAGGCAAUUGUGGCUUGGGAGCAUAAAAACCAUAUCACAAAAUGACACCAUUAUGCAUCUGAUCAUUUGAAUAAUACAUAUUAAAGAACAGUGACAAGUUCACAUAAACCUUUAAAAGUGGCACAUUUUGGACAGUUAGUUAAAACCUUCAAACAUCAUAAACAGAGAUCUUGGCAAAUGUGUAUUUGGAUACUGCAUAUGCAUGGAUGACUUUGUGUCACACCCCCAAAACUAAAGAUCCAGUGUGAAUGAUGUUUGAACAACACAAAAUAAGCUGUUAUAUUACAAGUGUACCCAUCUGAAGACCUUCUAGUGUGAUAAUUCUAUGCUAAGAAUUAAUAUCAAUACAUCCAAAAAAGAUGUACGAAAAGACAAAAUGAUAAAGUGAGGUAAAUGUAUUCCACAUACAAGUGUAGGUGGGGGGGGCUGUGAAUAUACAACAACAACUAAAAAAAGUCAACUACAGGAAUGAGUCACACCACUCUCUCAGACAGCUAUAACAGUCGCCUUGCUGUUUAGUGUUGGCUCCACAAGUAUCCUUCAACCAUUCCCGAAACAACUCUUCAUCUUUCUUCAGUACCAAGAACUGUCCUAGAACAACAUAUGCCUAAAGGAGGAAAAAGCAAAAGAAAGAAAAAAAAAUUAUGGUUUCAGUUUCAUGACUACGGAGUAUACAUGAAACAUCUUUUUACAUCAUACCUUGUCAAAGCCCUUCUCUUCCAAUCUCCUUCCAAGAACUUCACCGAUUCCUGCAAGUGCCAUCACAGACUUCUCCCCCAUGGGCUCUGCCACAAAGUCCUUGUGUUUUUGUGAUGUCGACGACAUGGUUGAUUUGUAUUAGAGAGGGCUGUGGGAUUUCAAGUUGAUUUCUUCAGUGGCUUAAGGCAGAGGAACAGGAGAAAAACACGCAUGUUAAAAGGUUUGAUUUCUUCAUAGCCGAAAACUACCUGCACAUAUAAUUCAAACCAAAACGAAUACAUAAAAAAAAAACAUCUAUUCAAUAUAUAAUUUCAGCUAACGUUAUUGCUAAAAUGCAAAUGUGCCUUCCCUGAAAAUCAGCCAAAUUGCAUCUCAUUUCCUCAUGUAUUAUAAUAACGUUAUAUUGUAACACUGAGAAAGGAAAGUGAAAGUAAGUUACGAGACUUCAGGGAAAGCAAAAGUCAAAACUACACAGAGGAUUAAUAAAACCCAUCAAAAACGCAAUAGACGCAUUGUUUUGAAAUUAUGCAGCUGAUAAGAGUAAAGUCUUUAAUUUACACGAGUUUUUGAGGUCCCGCCUCAUUUCUUCGCGGUCAGCGUCACACAACGACAGCUGACACACCACUCUCUAUACAUUUAAAAUAUAAUAAUAACCUAGGUGGCAAACACAACAGUAUGAACAGUAUUCUUAAGCACACGUGCAGCUGUAACACAGUUUAUAUCAUACCUGGACACUAUCAUGGAGAAACUUUAAUCCUCAUUCGCAAACGCCGUGUUGUUCACAAUCUCAAUGCGCCCAAAAUAACUCACACAGAUCCUGAUCCCGCCUUUAGAAAGAACAACGUCACUUCCGCCCUAAUAAUGAUGCUGCUGUUCAGAGAGACGCGGACCCCUGGUGGCUCCAGCUAUCUGGUGGAACGGGUGGAACUCAAAUAAAAUUUAAAUACACAAAUUGUAUAUUAAGCAAGUUCUUCACUUGUAGAAUGUGAUUCUAUUGUGUGAAAUGUCACUGAUAUAUUGCUUUAAAAGUGUAUUGGUUAAUAAUAACAUAAAACCCAGAAUAGAAUAUUCAGAAUAGAAAUGAACACCAGGGGGCAGGGAUACAUUAAAAACAACUUCAUGUACAGGUAAAUUUGUAAGAGAAGCUAGAGGACAAUUUACACAGUAUAAGAUCAUACACAGGUUUUAUUUGACACCUCCUAGACUCAAUAGAAUGGGUCUGACAAAUCAUAAUGUUUGUUGAGGUACUUUUAUUCAGUGUAUCUGGGAAUGUCCACUUAUUCAGCCUUUAUGGCACCAAACUUUAAAUAUUCUGAGCAAAUGGCUUGGGACAACAAUACCAUUAUCACCAAGGCUGUGUCUAUUGGGGGACAAGGAGCAGAUGCCAAAUAUUACAAAAGGAGAGUUCGCAGUGAUCAUGGUGGGGGUCUCAGUGACGGCUGGAGUCAUCUUGAAACACUGGAAAACUCCCAAAACCCCGGAGCUAAAAGACUGGGUCAACAUCAUGACUAAGACGGCUUCGUACGAACAUUUGCUUUACAAACUACUUAAUAAGAACAAAGCAGGGGUCACUGUGGGUAUUCCGGUUUGGGAAGAUUUUUGGUCUUAUGUGACGCUAUCUUUCCAUGUAACACAAUAAUUUAGAUUUUUCAUUAUUAUUAUAACUGUUUAUUUAUUUAUUUAUUUAUUUAUUUAUUAUUUUACAUUUAUUUUUUAUUUUUUUAAAUUAUUUUUUUAUUAUUAUUAACAUUAUUUUAUAUAUAAUCUCUG
ensembl:lncRNA